rnacentral:rRNA from 1 species
UGGUGGUGAAAUCCCAGAGCUUAACUCUGGAACUGCCAUCAAAACUUUUCAGCUAGAGUUUGAUAGAGGAAAGCAGAAUUUCUAGUGUAGAGGUGAAAUUCGUAGAUAUUAGAAAGAAUACCAAUUGCGAAGGCAGCUUUCUGGAUCAUUACUGACACUGAGGAACGAAAGCAUGGGUAGCGAAGAGGAUUAGAUACCCUCGUAGUCCAUGCCGUAAACGAUGUGUGUUAGACGUUGGAAAUUUAUUUUCAGUGUCGCAGCGAAAGCGAUAAACACACCGCCUGGGGAGUACGACCGCAAGGUUAAAACUCAAAUGAAUUGACGGGGACCCGCACAAGUAGUGGAGCAUGUGGUUUAAUUCGAAGAUACGCGCAGAACCUUACCAACACUUGACAUGUUCGUCGCGACUUUAAGAGAUUAAAGUUUUCGGUUCGGCCGGACGAAACACAGGUGCUGCAUGGCUGUCGUCAGCUCGUGUCGUGAGAUGUUGGGUUAAGUCCCGCAACGAGCGCAACCCUCACUUUUAGUUGCCAUCAUUUAGUUGGGCACUCUGAAAGAACUGCCAGUGAUAAGCUGGAGGAAGGUGGGGAUGACGUCAAGUCCUCAUGGCCCUUACGUGUUGGGCUACACACGUGCUACAAUGGUAUUUACAACAGGAAGCGAGACGGCGACGUUAAGCAAAUCCUUAAAAAAUACCUCAGUUCGGAUUGCACUCUGCAACUCGAGUGCAUGAAGCUGGAAUUACUAGUAAUCGUGGAUCAGCGUGCCACGGUGAAUGCGUUCCCGGGUCUUGUACACACCGCCCGUCACACCAUGGGAGUUGGUUCUACCUUAAGGCAAGGUUUUAAACCCUUGACCACGGUAUAGUCAGCGACUGGGGUGAAGUCGUAACAAGGUAACCG